rnacentral:rRNA from 1 species
GACGAACGCUGGCGGCGUGCCUAAUACAUGCAAGUAGAACGCACAGUUUAUACCGUAGCUUGCUACACCAUAGACUGUGAGUUGCGAACGGGUGAGCAACGCGUAGGUAACCUGCCUGGUAGCGGGGGAUAACUAUUGGAAACGAUAGCUAAUACCGCAUAAUAUUAAUUAUUGCAUGAUAAUUAAUUGAAAGGUGCAAUUGCACCACUACCAGAUGGACCUGCGUUGUAUUAGCUAGUAGGUGAGGUAACGGCUCACCUAGGCGACGAUACAUAGCCGACCGGAGAGGGUGAUCGGCCACACUGGGACGGAGACACGGCCCAGACUCCUACGGGAGGCAGCAGUAGGGAAUCUGCGGCAAUGGACGAAAGUCUGACCGAGCAACGCCGCGGGAGUGAAGAAGGUUGUCGGAUCGUAAAGCUCUGUUGUAAGAGAAGAACGGGUGUGAGAGUGGAAAGUUCACACUGUGACGGUAUCUUACCAGAAAGAGACGGCUAACUACGUG